rnacentral:rRNA from 1 species
CUUGGACAAUGGGGGCAACCCUGAUCCAGCCAUGCCGCGUGAGUGAAGAAGGCCCUAGGGUCGUAAAGCUCUUUCGCCUGUGAAGAUAAUGACGGUAGCAGGUAAAGAAACCCCGGCUAACUCCGUGCCAGCAGCCGCGGUAAUACGGAGGGGGUUAGCGUUGUUCGGAAUUACUGGGCGUAAAGCGCACGUAGGCGGAUCGGAAAGUUGGGGGUGAAAUCCCGGGGCUCAACCCCGGAACUGCCUUCAAAACUAUCGGUCUAGAGUUCGAUAGAGGUGAGUGGAAUUCCGAGUGUAGAGGUGAAAUUCGUAGAUAUUCGGAGGAACACCAGUGGCGAAGGCGGCUCACUUGCUCGAUACUGACGCUGAGGUGCGAAAGUGUGGGGAGCAAACAGGAUUAGAUACCCUGGUAGUCCACACCGUAAACGAUGAAUGCCAGUCGUCGGAUAGCUUGCUAUUCGGUGACACACCUAACGGAUUAAGCAUUCCGCCUGGGGAGUACGGUCGCAAGAUUAAAACUCAAAGGAAUUGACGGAA